ensembl:lncRNA
UCAUUCUCAACAGCAGAGUCCUUAUUAGAUGAUGUAUUUGAUAAUUUGUAAAACCCCUUUUAUCUCAGGAAUCAUUUCUCUGAACUGCUUGGCCUGGUUUAUGGAUUAAAGAGGGUGGAUUCCACAUUAGGGCUCCAGCCAGCUUUCCCAAAUCAAAGAAAAUUAAGCAGGAAGAUUGUGUGUACAUUUGAGAUUGGUGGGUAUUCAGCCUUGGCCAAGAUCAUGCUCUGAGCAACACACUGUUCCAGUCACGGAAUUUCCAUCUUAAUUUUCAGGUCAGCUCUCUAAGAUAUAUUUGGGGCAACGCGAUGACUGUGCAGUGGUUUUUCUCUGGUGGUUCUGUGCGCAUUGAGGGAUGUUUGAGGAGAUAAACAAGGAGACAGUGUUACCACAGAUACCUGAAUUUGUUAUUCUCUCAUCAAAAGAUGCUCACCACAUGCUGGUUCUUUCUCUCUCUUUGGUUCCUAUCAAAGGCCCUGACUUGCACCUUCACCUAAUUCUCAAAUCAAACCUCUGGAAAAAAAAAAAAAUUGUUGAAAAAAAAAGAUGUAAUACACUAUUUCAUUUCAUCUGUUUACCUCUUUCUGUUAUUGUCUUUACAUUUCCUGCCUCCCUGAGAAAGAGAUGAUCAAGUUGCCUCACCUCAGACUUAUCUGCAGGGGAAAUGUUGAAAUUUGCUAUUUGGGGGGAAGGGGGGGACCUGACACUUCAGAUACAGAUGAGUUUUGUCCGCCUUAUUUUUUCGGACCCAAAGUGAGAUGAACAGCCUUAACUCAGAUCACCCAGCAAUUGGGGAGCAAUGGCAAAAAAUAAAAUUCAUACUCUGUCCCAGGAAGACAAAAUAUGAGAAAAUGGAAGAACAUCACCUCAUUAUCCUCAGCUCCAGGAAGCUAGAUUAAAAGUUUAGAAGACAUAAUGAGAAGAAUUUUUAUUUGUUUUAUUUAUUUGCUUAUUUUCAUCUUUUUAUGGUCACACCUGUAGCAAAUGGAAGUUCCCAGGCUAGGGGUCGAAUCAGAGCUGUAACUUCCGGCCUACACCACAGCCAGCCACAGCAACGUUGGAUCUAAGCAGUAUCUUCGACCUGCACCACAGCUCAGGGCAAUGCCAGAUCCUUAACCGACUGAGCGAGGCCAGGGAUUGAACCUGUGUCCUCAUGGAUGCUAGUCAGCUUCGUUUCUGCUGAGCCAUGACAGGAACUCCAUUUUUUAAUUUUUUAAAAAUUUUUUAUGAAAUUCUUCCAACUUGCAUUUGGUAUUGGAGACCCAGGUUCAAUCCAUACUUCGGGGGGAAGACCCCUGUAAUCAAGUUGUGGAAUCUUAUUUGAACUGACAACAAAGAAUCCUACCCAAGGUAAAGAAAAACUUGAAUUUCCCCCUUGUUCUUCGGGGCCGAAGGGUAUAAAGAUCACACACCACAUAACUUGUUUCCUACCUCCCCAGAGCUACACUUAAAUCCAAUGUUGAGUUGCUUCCAAUUUUUUACAGCAACCCAUCAAUGGCAAGGAAGAGCACUGCCAGAUUCAUAGUCCAUUUCCAGGUAUACUGCAGAUGAUCUCGUGUCUACACCCACGUGUACUCUCUGUUCUACUCUCACUUGAGAGUGAGGAGUCUGGAGCUUUAACUUGCAGCCAACAAGAAUGGUGCUCUCAGAAACUCAGCAGCUUUCAUCAGCACAGAUAUUUUCACCUUACAGGCCCAAGGGUGGCCUGUUGUUGUCUCAGGAUUCUGAAUGCAAGAACAUGUACCAUGGAAACUGCGUUCAUCACAGCUCUGUGACAGAAUAUGACAUCACCCAUGAACCUGAACUUCUUUCUAUACCUGGAAACACCAGACCACACAGAAUAGGCUCACUUGUGAAGGCCUCUAUUCUUUUGAAGAGAAGCCCCAGGACCUGGGAAGUGUGGGUGGAGCCUGAGACAAUGGUAACAGUGACCUGUCUUGAAUUCUCAGAAUACUAUAAAUACCCUCAGGGCUUAUUUGGGAGAACAUGUGUGUACAUUAAUGAGUGUAUAGUUCGUGGAUCUAAAGCAAAGCACAUAGAUCUCAUCCAUAUGUGUGCUAACAACAACCGGACACAUUUCCCUAGAAUCUUGGAGGUCUUAGGGCUGAAGUUGCCAUCACCAAGCCGGACAGGACACUGCCCAGUAGAGCGCAAAGGGGACUCAUCGUACAUUUGGUACCUGGAGCUUCCCCUGUACCAGUAGCGGCAAGCUAUUUUUCCCUUUGAUGUUCACUUUCCUACAGAUAAAGAGGACUGAAUUCAUUGACUUUCAAAAUUCUUUCCUGUGUGGAAUUAUAGCUCUAAGUCACUAAGCUUGGCUGUGUUAGUAAGACUCCAGUAUUCUAGGCUAAUGGACUUGGAUGUUUGCUUCUCCAUCCUCAGGGGAAACUGAUUGUAAUUCAAGUCUUUUCCAUUUCCUUCGAUUCAUUUGUUAUGUAUUCAACCAUCUCCAUUCAGCAAACAUUUAGUCAAAUGCAAGGCACUGUGCUAGAUCUUUUGUAGCCAACGAAUAACUCUUUUUUUUUUUUUUUGUCUGUGCCCACAGCAUGUGAAAGUUCCUGGGCCAGGAGAACCCACAGCAGAGUAGCUCCUCAAGCUGCUGCAGUGACAAUACUGACACUUAAACUGUUGUACCGCAAGAAAACUUUUCCCAACUAAUAAUUCUGGCAUUUGUGUUAUUUUCUCUGAGUCUUAUAAUAACCUUGUGAGUGUAGGUAAGUCAGACAUGUCUAUUCCCACUUUAAUAAUGAGAGAUGUAGCUAUUAACCACAUCUUUUGACUCAUGGAUUAAUUUCUGAUCCAAUAUUCCAAAUACGCUCAACAAAACAAUAUUUUGCAUUUUUAUGGCUGCACCUGCAGCAUAUGGAAGUUCCCAGGCCAGGAUCAAAUCUGAACACGGCUGCCACCUACACUGCAGCUGCCACAAUGCUGGAUCCUUAACCCACCACCCUGGGCUGAGGAUCGAACCCUCACCUCAACAGCUACCUGAGCCUCUGCAGUCAGAUUCUUAACCCACUUGGAUGCAGAGGGAACUCCCAACAUUUUGCAUAUUUAGUUGAACAUUACUCAUUAUAGAAUACUCCCCCAAAACUCUCAAUUGAGAGUGAGGAGUCUGGAGCUAUAACUUUGCAGCCAACUUGCCACCAAGAGUGAUGCUCUUCGAAGUUCAGCAGCUUUUAUUAACACAGAAGUUUAAAAUAUCUAUUUUAUCUUCACAAAAACCCCAUUCGUGGCUUCAGCUCUGUAAAAGGGCCCAACCAAGGUAACCAAACAUGAGGUAAAGACUUGAGACCGUUUUACAGUAAACUCCAAUACUGUCAGCCACAAACUCAGCCGAAUUCUCACAGACUGAAAAUAAAGAUUAGCAAUCAUUUAGUUUCUAAAAUACAUCAGACAGCCACUGUGCUCUUUUCUUAACAUGUGUCUUUCUAAAUGCCUACCAUAGCCCUGCAAAGUAGGUGUUCUCAUUUGACAAAUGACAAAAAAAAAAAAAUAAAAA